CCUACGGGUGGCUGCAGUGGGGAAUAUUGGACAAUGGGGGCAACCCUGAUCCAGCCAUGCCGCGUGUGUGAAGAAGGCCCUCGGGUUGUAAAGCACUUUCAGUGAGGAAGAACGCCUGGUGGUUAAUACCCAUCAGGAAAGACAUCACUCACAGAAGAAGCACCGGCUAACUCCGUGCCAGCAGCCGCGGUAAUACGGAGGGUGCGAGCGUUAAUCGGAAUUACUGGGCGUAAAGCGCGCGUAGGUGGCUUGAUACAGCCGGUUGUGAAAGCCCCGGGCUCAACCUGGGAACGGCAUCCGGAACUGUCAAGCUAGAGUGCAGGAGAGGAAGGUAGAAUUCCCGGUGUAGCGGUGAAAUGCGUAGAGAUCGGGAGGAAUACCAGUGGCGAAGGCGGCCUUCUGGACUGACACUGACACUGAGGUGCGAAAGCGUGGGUAGCAAACAGGAUUAGAUACCCUGGUAGUC
rnacentral:rRNA from 1 species